CUAUGUCCCAUUUUAGAGUAUUUUACCAGGCUAUAUAAUCCAAAUUCCCCAUAAAGCCAUACCAUUUCUUAAAGAAGACAUCCCAGGGUAUUUCAAAAGGCAUAUUUUGAACCUUAGCGUGGGAUCAUUUUUCCGCUAGCUUGUACCAAGUGUAGUGGUAAUAAGCAUUUUUUCUGCCUUUUUGACAUACAAAGUGAGUUUGCGCAGCAUAUUUUGCAAACCUUAU
rnacentral:lncRNA from 1 species